AGUGAACGCUGGCGGUAGGCCUAACACAUGCAAGUCGAACGGCAGCACAGGAGAGCUUGCUCUCUGGGUGGCGAGUGGCGGACGGGUGAGGAAUACAUCGGAAUCUGCCCAGUCGUGGGGGAUAACGUAGGGAAACUUACGCUAAUACCGCAUACGACCUUCGGGUGAAAGAGGGGGAUCGCAAGACCUCUCGCGAUUGGAUGAGCCGAUGUCGGAUUAGCUAGUUGGCGGGGUAAUGGCCCACCAAGGCGACGAUCCGUAGCUGGUCUGAGAGGAUGAUCAGCCACACUGGAACUGAGACACGGUCCAGACUCCUACGGGAGGCAGCAGUGGGGAAUAUUGGACAAAGGGCGCAAGCCUGAUCCAGCCAUACCGCGUGGGUGAAGAAGGCCUUCGGGUUGUAAAGCCCUUUUGUUGGGAAAGAAAUCUUUCAGGCUAAUACCCUGGGAUGAUGACGGUACCCAAAGAAUAAGCACCGGCUAACUUCGUG
rnacentral:rRNA from 1 species